rnacentral:rRNA from 1 species
UACGUAGGGUGCAAGCGUUGUCCGGAAUUAUUGGGCGUAAAGAGCUUGUAGGCGGUUUGUCGCGUCUGCUGUGAAAGUCCAGGGCUCAACCCUGGGAUGCCGGUGGAUACUGUCGGGCUCGAGUCCGGAAGAGGAGUGUGGAAUUCCUGGUGUAGCGGUGAAAUGCGCAGAUAUCAGGAGGAACACCAAUGGCGAAGGCAGCACUCUGGGACGUGACUGACGCUGAGACGCGAAAGCGUGGGGAGCAAACAGG